AGACGGAAGUGGAGCGAGGACAAAAUGGCUGCGAAGGUUGUUGCUCCCCUCCCCCACCCACGUCCGAAUCCUCCUUUCCAUGCCCCACCUUCGUGUUCCAGACGGGCCUCUAAGUGCCCCGGGUUUCGCGAAUCUGUAUUUCAUAGCGUGGCUUUGGACAAGGGCUGACCCCGAGGGGCUGGGGCGAAGGUUCCGGCUUCAGGGUGCCACUAGGGCUGCUCGCUCACGGCCCCCCAGGAUUGGGAUUGGAGGGAGCCGCCAGGCCGCCGCGGGGUGGGGCGGGUUAGCUCGGCAGGCCUCCCAGCACCUGCAUUUCCCUACGGCAACUGUCGGGAGGCAGCCCCCGACGCAGAGGUUUAAGGGGCCCGGCUUUUCAGAACCGCCUCAGGACGCGGUCGUGUCUGGAUCCCUCCGCGGAAAAGAAGGCGAAACCGCUUCUCUGAGCCCUGACCGUUAGGCCCCUUCCCACCUCCGUCUAGAACAGAUUCGGCUUCUUGGCUCAGUCCUUCCCCAACUAGCCCAAGCCCUACAUUUCCCCGUUGUUUAUAAAAUAAACAGGUUUAAAUGGUGGCGAGUGUGUUCUUGGUUAGGUGAACCAGGCAUUAGGAAUCAUAGGUUCCAGUAGCCGUGCGUCCUUGAUUUAGACUUUCUGAACGUUUGUAUUUUCAGUAACAUGAGGUGAUAUCUUUCCUGGUUUGACUUUCAUCAAAAAUUAAACGACAGACCAUACCGACGCUUUGAAAACGUGACUGAGCUGGUGCACAAAACAAUGGUGCCUAGAAUUUUGAAUUGUGCAAUGUUGUGCAUGGCCGCGGAUAUGUGGGGCCUUGUGGUUCCAAGAGCCUGUCUCAGGUACCUUGAACACUCCCUGUAUCCUUUCAAGCAGGCGAGGUAGCUGUUAUUCCUAUUUAGUAGAUAAAUAGGCACCGAUGGGGGAAAAGAUUUUUUAAGGCUACACCAAAAGAACUUUUAGUAGCAGGGCUGGAAUUAGAAGGUCUCUAGACUGCGAAAAAGGCUGUCAGAAGAGCGAGGACAUCUUGUCCUUGUCAAAGCCAGUAAAGGGUAGAGACAGACUCAAACAUAUGAAGAAUUUCCUUUUCAUAUUUUCCUUUUGGGGAGGAAUGUUGGCUUAGAGUUCAUGGAGAUAUAUUCUUAGCCUCUCCCACGUCCCAAGAAUUUAAUUUUAUACAAUGCUUUCACUACAUACAAAAUGCUUUCAUUUGUCAUUUAAUCAUCAACACAAUUCUCUAAGGUGUGUAUUAUUCAUCCCCAUAUCAGGGGAAAAAUGCAGCUCAGAGAUAAUCAUUUGUGGGAAGAUAAGCAGCUGGGUAAGCUAGAAUCAAAUCUAGCUUUUUUUUGGUUCAAGAUUUGUUUUAUGUUUUUUGUUAGUUACGCUACAGUGUAAUUUCCUUCCUGGAAAUAAAUUGAACUCAACUCCAGAAAGAGUUAAGAUAUGUACUGUGAGCCACUGUUUUCAGUUUCCUUUGGUAUUUGGAACCCCCAGUCCCCCACGCUAACUGCUAGUAAUGUUAUCUGGAAUCUUUCUUUUCACACCCCAGUGCCUAGAGUUUAACAAGCACAAAUUUUAAACUACACCCUGUGCUGUAUUUUGCGUUUUUGUAAUUAUUUUAAUCAUUGAAUAGUGGAAAAUAGAAUUGGGGCGCACAUCCACUUGUUUGGGAUAUCCCAUCCAAUAGCAGUGAUAAAAGAAAGCAGAACAAAUAACCUCUGUUUCUGGUUACUCUCAAAACGCGUUCUGGGACUUGGGCUAUGUCUUAUUAAAUGGAAUGAUUUACCGUUUAUAUAUUUAAAGCUCAGAAUAUGAUAAAGGUCCUGUCUCCACCACUUCAAACGCACAGGGUUUCAAAUGACACAGUUAAGAUCUAAAAUUAAAGUUUGGUUGCAUGGGACUGCAGUGGAGCCUAGAGCCUAGGACUUCUGACUGGAUAAAAGGAUAAUGAUUUAACAUUUUUGUGUGCCUACCACAUGCCAGCCUUAACCUCAUUUAAUUCUCACCGUAAAUCUAAGCGGUAGCAACUAUUAUGAUCGUCAUUUUGUAAAUGGGGAAACUAAGGCACGACUCCGUCUCCCAAAAAAGACAGUCUCCCAAUGGAGUCUCCCAGAAAAGAUGGAGUCUCGCUCUGUCCCCCAGGCUGGAGUGCAGUGGCAGGAACUUGGCUCACUGCGACCUCCGCCUCCCAGGUUCAAGUGAUUCCCCUGCCUCAGCCUCGCGAGUAGCUGAGACUACAGGUGCAUGCCACCACGCCCGGCUAAUUUUUCUAUUUUAGUAGACGGGGUUUCACCAUAUUGGCCAGGCUGGUCUCAAACUCCUGUCCUCAGGUAAUCCGCCUGCCUCGGCCUCCCAAAGUGCUGGGAUUACAGGCAUGAGCUACCACGCCUGGCCUGUUUUUUUUGUUUUUUUUUUUUAUGUGGAGUCUAUAACUGUCAUCCAGGCUGGAGUGCAGUGCUGUGAUCUUGGCUCACUGCAACCUCCGCCUCCUGGGUUCAAGCAAUUCUCCUGCCUCAGCCUCCCAAGUAGCUGAGAUUAGAGGCCCGCACCACCACCACGCCCCGCUAAUUUUUGUUAUUUUUAGUAGGGACGGGGUUUCACCAUGUUGGUCAGACUGGUCUCAGGCCUCAAGUAAUCUUCCCACCUCGGCCUCCCAAAGUGCUGGGAUUACAGGAGUGAGCCGCCGUGCUGGCCUCAGUUUAUGAAGAAAUUAUUUAAUAGUUUUGUGGUAUCAGUUGCUUCUGUUGAAAAGUCUCAACCAGCCUAGGCAAAAUAGUGAGACCCCCAUCUCUGAAAAAAUGAGAUGGGAGGAUCGCUUGAGCUCAAGAGGUGGAGAAUGCAGUGAGCCAUGGUUGUGCCCCUGCACUCCAGCCUGAGUGACGGAGCAAAACCCUGUCUCAAAAAACAAAAAAAAAUGAAAAAAAUUUAAGGUUUAGAAUUUAAUUGGAUAAUUUGUGUUAGGAUUAUGUGGUGUACUGUUACUAAGUAUGCAUUUUUAAAAAAUUAGUAUUAAAGAAUAGUAAACUUACAGUCCCUUGCUUUAAAAACUCAGAUAUUAAAAACAAUCCUCCUGUGACCCGGUGACAUGACUAAAAGAUGCAAUAUAUGUAUGCCCUGAUUGCCCAAAUACUGGAGUGUAUGUACUGCAUUGCAUCAGGGAAAUUUGAAACCAGAAUGAUGUAAGCUGUUAUUAAUAUUUUGAUUUCUAACUGCAGCCAUGUAUAAAUUAUUGCAACUGGAGAACAGCAUACAUAAACAUAGCCCCAAUAUCUUUUUCCUGCAUUAUGCUUUACCUUCCUAAACCAGAUUAUACGCUUUAGAACAUUCUCAUGCCUAUUGUAUUUCUGGUAGUAGAGCCCUUGCCAUUGAUGUUUUAUUCAGUGCUUUAUGCAGGGCACCAUGCUAAGCAUUUGACAUAUAUUCUCUUACAUGACCCUCACAACUAUUUUUGGCAGAUCAUAUUGUCCGCAUUUUCAGGUAAAGAAAUUGAGGUUCAAAUAGGUCAAAUAAUUUGCUUAAGAUCUCUAGCUGACCCUGAAUUUUUCAAAAUCAGAUUUUAUUCUACAGCUUAUGCUUCUAACUCAGGCUAGGUUGCUUUCUACUUUCAAACUCUUAGUCAUCUUGUUUAGCCCCUGCACUAUGGAGAGGAGGUGCGGUAUAAAAUGCGCUCUUGGCCAGGCACUGUAAUCCCAGCAUUUUGGGAGGCCAAAGCUGGUAGAUGGCUUGAGCCCAGGAGUUCAAGGCCAGCCUGGGCAACAUAAGGAGACCCCAUCUCUACAAAAAAUACAAAAAUUAGCUGGGCGUGUUGGCAUGUGCCUGUAGUCCCAGGUACUCGGGAGGCUGAGGUGGGAAGAUGGUUUGAGCCUGGGAGGUUGAGGCUGCAGUGAGCCGUGAUUGUGCCACUGAGCUCCAGCCUGGGCGACAGAGUGAGAACCUGUCUCUUAAAGAAAAAAAAGGUGCUCCUUAUUAUUUUAAUUUUUUUUUUUUAAUCUGAGAUGGAGUCUCACUGUCACCCAGUCUGGAGUGCAAUGGUGCAAUCUCAGCUCACUGCAGCCUCCCCCUCCUGGGUUCAAGCAGUUCUCCUGCCUCAGCCUCCUGAGUAGAUGGGAUUACAGGCGCACACCACCAUGCCCGGCUAAUUUUUUUAGCAUUUUUAGUAGAGAGGGGUUUUCGCCAUGUUGGUCAGUCUGGUCUCGAACUCCUGACCUCAUGAUCCACCCGCCUCGGCCUCCCAAAGUGCUGGGACUCAGGCGUGAGCCACUGCGCCCCGCCUAUUUUAAUUUAAAAUUUUUUUCAGAGCAGCUUAAUUUUUAAUAUUUAUUUAUUUAUUUAUUUAUUUAUUUUUUGAGAUGGAGUUUCACUUUUGUCGCCCAGGCUGGAGUGCGAUGGCGCAAUCUCAGCUCACUGCAACCUCCGCCUCCCAGGUUUAAGCAAUUCUCCUGCCUCAGCCUCCCAAGUAGCUGGGAUUACAGGCAUGUGCUACCAUGCCCAGCUAAUUUUUUCUAUUUUUAGUAGGGAUGGGGUUUCUCCAUGUUGGUCAGGCUGGUCUCGAACUCCUGACCUCAGGUGAUCCACCCGCCUCAGCCUCCCAAAGUGCUGGGAUGACAGGCGUGAGCCACUGCACCCGGCUAAUUUUUAAGAUUUUUUUUUGGCUGGGCGCGGUGGCUCACGCCUGUCAUCCCAGCACUUUGGGAGGCCAAGGCAGGAGGAUCACAAGGUCAAGAGAUCGAGACUAUCCUGGCCAACAUGCUGAAACGCUGUUUCUACUAAAAAUACAAAAAUUAGCUGGGCAUGGUGGCACGCACCUCUAGUCCCAGCUUCUCAGGAGGCUGAGGGAGGAGAAUCACUUGAACCCAGGAGGUGGAGGCUACAGUGAGUCAAGAUCACACCACUGCAUUCCAGCCUGGCAACAGAGCAAGACUCCGUCUCAAAAAAAAAAAAAAAAAAAAAGUUUUUUUUUUUGUUUGUUUGUUUUCCUUUUGCAGAGAUGGGGUCUUACUGUGUUGCCCAAGCUGGUCUCAAACUCCUGGACUCGAGCAAUCCUCCUGCUUUGGCCUUCCAAAGUGCUAGGUUUACAGGCAAGAGCCACUGUGGCUGGCCCUAAUUUUUAAAUUGUUUUACUAAUUGAAAUCUUUAGCAGAGCUGCUUACAAGUAGCCAAACUCAUUGAGUUUUCCUUUUUUAUAACUUACUUUUCCAUCCACAAGUGGUAACAAAAACAUAUGAUAUAAAAGAUGACAGAGGGCUGGGUACAGUGGCUCACGCCUGUAAUCCCAGCACUUUGGGAGGCUGGCGGAUCACCUGAGGUCAGGAGUUGGAGACCAGCCUGGCUUACAUGGUGAAAGCCCAUCUCUGCUAAAAAUACAAAAAUUAGCCAGGCGUGAUGGUGUGCGCCUGUAGUCCCAGCUACUCGGGAGGCUGAGGCAGGAGAAUCGCUUGAACCCAGGAGGCGGAGGUUGCAGCAGUGAGCCAAGAUCACACCACUGCACUCCAGCCUGGGCAACAGAGUGAGACUGCGUCUCAAAAAAAAAAAAAAAAAAAAAAGAAGUAAAUAAUUGUAAACAUAAUUACUAAACAUGGGGUCCUUGAACUGUAUAAUUUUUUUUUUUUUUUGAGAGUCUUGCUCUGUCACCCAGGCUGGAGUGGAGUGGUACGAUCUCCGCUCACUGCAACCUCCACCUCCCGGGUUCAAGUGAUUGACCUGCCUCAGCCUCCCGAGUAGUUGGGACCACAGGCAUGUGCCACCACGCCCAGCUAGUUUUUGUAUUUUUAGUAGAGAUGGAGUUUCACCAUCGUGGCCAGGCUGGUCUUGAACUCUUGACCUCAAGUGAUCCACCUACCUCAGCCUCCCAAAGUGUUGGAAUUACAGGCGUGAGCCAUGGCCCCCAGCCUACAUUUUAAAUAAAUUGAUAUGACUGUAUCAUCUUUGAAGAAUCAACUGUACCUAUUAUUUUGUAGUUUUAAUGUACCUUAUCUUUUUGCCUCUCAGAAGAUUGGACAGAUUUAAUCUUGAUGUGCUCAAGAUACUCUGUGCUUAACAUUCAACAAAAAUUACAUGAUCUAAGCCCAUCAUUACCAUGUAAAGACAAAUCAGGCAAUUAUAAAAUUGGGAAUUGUAUCUUGUUUUGCAGAACAAGGGAAAACUAAAGGAUUUGGACUUGUGUGAGUGAGCUAAGUGUGUCCCAAGUAUGGUGAACAGCUUUAGGUCAAGGAAGAAAGCAAAGAGGAGAGAAAGCCUAUAGCUGAGUGUAAAAGUUUGAGGAUUUCAGGAGGGAAGAUGAUGAUGAAUCAGGAUCUGUCAGUUCUGAUGGAAUAUACUAACAGUGGCUGGGUUUAAAUCCUGGCUCCAGGGCCGGGCACAGUGGCUCAUGCCUGUAAUCCCAGCACUGGAAGGCUGAGAUGGGCGGAUCAUGAAGUCAGGAGAUUGAGACCAUCCUGGCUAACGGUGAAACCCGUCGCUACUAAAAAUACAAAAAAUUAGCCAGGCGUGGUGGCAGGCGCCUGUUGUCCCAGGUACUCGGGUGGCUGAGGCAGGAGAAUGGCGUGAACCCGGGAGGCGGAGCUUGCAGUGAGCUGAGAUUGUGCCACUGCACUCCAGCCUGGGCGACAAAGCUAGACUCGGUCUCAAAAUAAAAAUAAAAGUGAAAAUAAAUGCUGGCUCUACUACUGACUUAACCUCUUUGAGCCUUACAUUUCUCACUUGUAGAAUGUGAAUACAAAUAUUUCCUUAUAGGGUUGAUGUGAGUAUGACAUUGAGACAAAAUGUAUAAUGUACUUAGUGUGACUGGCACGUGAUGGCUCAGUAAGUGAUGAUUACUAUUAUUGCUGCUAUUUUGCAAUGACCUCUGUGAAGUUUUUUCCAGAUGUAUUUGAAUCUCUUAGUGCAUACUUUUCAGAUUUAUUUGAACCCCUUAGUGUGUGCUUCUCUGUUGGCACUUCACCUAGGCACAAAAUACUUACUUAGUAAUUAUUAUUUCAUUAAUUUUGAUAAAUCCUUAAGGACAGCAACUCUUGGUAUCCCCUGUGCAACUUAUACCUAGCAUCUUGCCUUGUGAGAGAAAAAAGUAAUUGGUAAAUUCGUGACUGAAAUUGAUAAAUAAUAGAUCGUAUUCAGUCUGAGUUCUUCUGUUCUUCUGUUGGCAGCAAGCUGAUAAACAAAUUUCCAUUCCAGGUUAUAUGAGCUUCAGCUUCUCCUACAGUAUCACUUUUACUUGUUUAUUUUUUAAUUGCUGAUACAGAUGCAUCCAUAAUAAAUAUUUGGUUUUUGUGAUGCUGAAACACAGUCCCAAUUACAAGGCAACUUAGAAGUUAAAACUGAAACUGAAAUAUAAACAGCUUAACACCAGAAGGAAGCAAAACUAUAUAUGUCUUUUUGCAACAGCAGUUCCGAAAUUGUUUUUAUACACUGUAACAACAAAGGUACCAACUUCCUUAUUUCACAAAUUUAAGUUUGGUUUAUAUAUUUUAUUGACAUGGUUACUCAAUGUCCACAUCAUUCCAUCUGCAUCGUCUUCCUACAAACAGUUUUUCUUCUACUAUUCGGUUAUUUCUCCUUUUUUUGUUUCCUAUUUCAGAAUCAAAUUUAUUUUACUUGCAAAGUCAGUGGAAUAUGGUUUGGAACCAGUAGGGCCUCUAACUUAAGCCCAGAACCUGUCAAAGAGAAGUGCAGUAUCAUUGCUAAGACUUGAACAGUUUAUCUCUCAGAAUCUUCAGUUCCUUUGAAUUUCUCAGCUCUUAGUGUAAUCUGUUUUAUGUGUUUGUUGUAGACUUCCAUUAUGGAUAGAUUUCCAAAAUAAUUUGGGUAAUCAACUGGUAUUUUAGCAUUCUGGUAACUAACAUGUUUAAAAAUCUAAGGCUCUUUUUCAUGCAAAGGAGACUGAUUUUUGCUUUCAAAAGCAUAGGCAGGAAACCUUAGGUUCAAAGGUAGUAAAUAAUGAUGAGCAAAUUGCUAGUGAUGAUACAGCUGCAGCUUCCGUUGUGUAUUUGUUUGGCUCAGGUACUCUAGAAAUGAGAAUUCUUAGAAUUACAUAGCAGAAGUGAUAUGUUGCCUGGAUACCACACUACCAGAGGAAUAAAAAUGUAGUUAGAGUAAGGGGUUUUAUAUUUUACAAUGAGACAGUGUUAGUGUAAGAAGCAUUCCAAAUACGCCAGUUCUCUUAAACCCAUAGCAGACAUUUAUAUGUUAAUUCCUCAAUGUCUCAUUUCCCACCUUUUUUAGAGGAAGAAAAUACUCAGGCUAAAACUUUCACCCAAGCAUAAACUCCUGGGGACUUUACAAGAAUUUUGUUUUUUGCACUAUGUGACGACACGAUUGUGAGAAUUAAAUAUAGGAGUGAAAAACCAGAGAAAUGGGGCAAAAUCCCAGAUUAGUCUUUCCUCUUUAAGCAUCUGCUUCCCAUUUUAGAAACAUGCUUUCAUCACCACAUUCAGCAUCAAUUUUUUUCUUUCCUCUAACCUGCUCUUCUUUUAAAAAGUAUUCUGGGCCGGGCAUGGUGGCUCACACCUGUAAUCCUAGCACUUUGUGGGGCCGAGGUGGGUGGAUCACCUGAGGUCAGGCGUUUUGAGACCAGCCUGGUCAACAUGGCGAAACCCCAUCUCUACUAAAAAUACAAAAAUUAGCUGUACGUGGUGGCGCACACCUAUAAUCCAAGCUACUUGGGGGACUGAGGAAGGAGAAUCGCUUGAACUCGGGAGGUGGAGGUCGCAGUGAGCCGAGAUACGCCACUGCACUCCAGCCUGCGUGAUGAGAGCAAGACUGCAUCUCAAAAAAAAAAGUAUUCUGAGCCAGGUGCAGUGGCUUCCAGCACUGUGGGAGGCCAAGGGUGGGUAGGUCACUUGAGGUCAGGAGCUUGAGACAAGCCUGGCCAACAUGGAGAAACCCUGUCUCUAUCAGAACUCCAAAAAUUAGCUGGGUGUGAUGGCAGGCACCUGUAAUACCAGCGACUCAGGAGGACAAGGCAGGAGAAUCACUUGAACCCAAGAGGCGGACGCUGCAGUGAGCUGAGAUGGUGCCACUGCACUCCAGCCUGGGCAACAGAGCGAGACUUCGUCUCAAAAAAAAAAAAGUUUUCUACUCUCCCAGAGGUGAUCAGUUGACAUUUGUGCUAGGGUCCUUGAAGAGCUGAUUCAGGUCCAGCAUUUGUGCUGUAGGUAUCAAGAGUAAUCAAAACUAUUAAAAAGGCAAGUUAUUGUAUUGCAGGCUGCUGUUUUCUUUAUUUCUCAAACAUCUUUCUUCUCCCAUUCAUCAACUCUUCAGCAGCUAUCCUGGUGAGUUAUUUUUGCUAAAUCUUUCCAAGAUACAACUAAAAUGUUAGCAGGCACUAGCUCAGCCCUCUCCUGCCACCCACUACUUAUUCUCAUCUCUUCCCUAAAUAUUAGUACCCUUUUCUUCCAGCCCAGAGCUAGACUUCUGGAUGCUGAGCCUGGGAAAAUACUGAAUUUCUCUCAUUUUUCACUUUUAGGAGGGAACGGUUAUGGCAUAUACUUGCAGUGCCAUUAGAAGCAUUGGCAAUCCCUGAUCUUUUUGAUAGUUUAAGGCUUAGAAUCAUCAAAAGUUCCAGGUUCAUAUCCUUCUAAAAUGGAAGAAAUGGAGGAAGUUCCAAGUGUGGUACAAUACUGAACUUCCUUUUAUCCUUCCUUGAUUUUUUUUUUUUUUUGAGAUGGAGUCUUGCUUUGUCACCCAGGCUGGAGUGCAAUGGCAUAAUCUUGGCUCACUGCAACCUCCACCUGCUGGAUUUUCCUACAGGUGCCUGGCACCAUGCCCGGCUACCUUCCUUGACAUAUUAAGAGAAAACUGAUCUAAUCUCCCUUUCUAGUCCACCCAGUCUUGCAAUUCUGGUUUCACAUUUUCUCAGAAAGAAGAGACUAUAAUGGUAUGUUGGGUAAUCUUUCAGCAUUCCUAGAUCCCUUUUUCUCUAGAAGAAUUCUUUCUAAGGACGUUGAUAAAUGACAUGUUGUAUUUUCUCCUUCCAGAAAUAUCUAGCAGGAAAGUCCUUAGAGGCAUCUGAUUUGAGGGGAAAUCCACAAUUGCUCCAUUAUAUAUUUCUAAUGUUUGUCAACAAUCCUCAUAACAUCAUGAAGAUGGAAAGCUCUUCACAAUCCUUUGUCACAAAUUUUUGUCUCCUUUCAUAGUUAUUUUGGGCUCAAUACAAAUAGUGAGAUUAGUAUAGAGUGGGAGAAACUCAUUCACUCUUCUCCAUCUCCCACUAUUUCAACUCCCCUUGAAAUUAAUAUCCAAACCUUAUGACAAAUGAAGUUAAGUCAGAAUAGAAGACACAUGUUUCCUUUUUUGGAGUUUCUUAGAAGUGGUUAGCUCAGUACAUGGUGUAGACAGGUGUAAUAAGGCUGUGGGUUCUGCUUGACUGUCUGAAUAACUAAUAAUCCAAUAAGUUUGCAGAAAUGCAUAGAAAAUUUACAAACAGCAUCCCAUUUCCUCUUGAAAAUUGUGAAUCAAAGCACUGAUACAAAAUAUCCCACAUUAAAAGUUUUAGGUAUAUUCACCUCACCUUUCCCCAACCUUCUCACCACAGGUCCUGGUCAACAAAUAGAUUUGGACUCCUGCUUUCCCUUACUCUGGUCUAAAGGCACAAUAAGAUGCCUUUUUACAGAUGAAUCAGCUUACAUCCUUUUGCUUGUUUGGUAUUGUAUAAGGAAAAUGCUCAUCUGAAUCUGUUCCGUGCAAUGCUCACUGCUACUUAGAUGACCUCUCAUCUGGUUGUGUGGCUGGUGACUUGAGCUCCAAUGACGAGAAGAGUCCAAAGACCCUGACUCCUAGGAAAGCGUGGGAGUCAAGUCCAUUGUAAUUCAGACCGUUUGGAAGGCUCUGCUCUGGCUGGGGAUCAUGCUGGGUGUGGUUUCUGCUUUGGUCAGAUUAGCAUGGUGGACUUUCUUUGGUUCAGAACCUCUCACCUCUGGCCCCACUAGGCUGUAUGCCUGGGUGGCCAGCCCUGGCUGGGGUGCUGCGUCAGUUGACAGUGUCCGCUGGCUGCGUGAGGCACUAUUUGCUGUGGAGCGAGUGGAGGAAGAACCAGAGCGUGAGCUCCGAGAGCCUGAGGAAGAGGAGCUGGGUUUCACAAGACGGGCUUUUGGAGCUUCAGCAUCUUCUCUGAAGAGAAAAAACAGCAAAGAUUAACACUGGCAGAUCUGUGAUUGCUUCCAGUAUGAUUGCUUCCUUCUGAGGUUUCCGAAGCUGUGAACCUCAGAUAAUACCAUCGGAAGGCAACCAUUUAGGGUCAUAGGUGCUUCCUCGUAUCUUAAGACUUAAUGCUUGGCUCACACAAAUGUAUAUUUUGUUAGCCCACAGGUCAACUCUAUUAUACUGGGAGGAUAGGACCUUACCAUUGAGAUGGUCUAGACAGCACACCUCCUGAUUUAGGGUUUGUCUGCAUAAACCCUUUCAUGACCUAUAGGCUAUGUCCAUUCUUCAUUGUAUGCCCAUUAUGGGUAGAAGUGAAUCAGAAGUAAUGUAAAUUGAACUGUUUUAUGUAUAUACAUAUGUACAUACUUUUUUUUUUUUUUUUUUUGAGACAUGCUCUUUCUCUGUCACCCAGGCUGGAGUACAGAGGUGCAAUCAUGGCUCACUGUAGUCUUAAACUCCUGGGCUAAAGUCAUCCUCCUGUCUCAGCCUCCUGAGUAGCUGGGACUACAGGCAUGGGCUACCAUGCCUGGUUAUUUAUUUAUUUAUUUUUCUUUUGUAAAGAUGGAGUCUAACUAUGUUGACAAGGCUGGUUUCAAACUCCUGGCCUCAAGUAAUCCUCCCGCCUCGGCCUCCCAAAGUGCUGGGAUUACAGGCAUGACCUACCACGCCCAGCCUAAUUUAACUUUUAAGUGUUUGUUGAGGAUAAGAUAGUUUCACAAUAAAGUCCAGGUAAACCAUACCCUCUGUCCCUAGGCUGGAACUUCCUACCUACCAGGAUAAUCCUUUUAACAGAUUCAUGGUUAAGAGAAAACUGGGAACAUUUAUGUUGGCUGGUCACUAUAGUGCUGGCCCUAAAACAGAAGCCCCGUAAAAGUAGGGAUGUGGGAGGUUUACCGAAUUUCAUUAGGUCUCUCUUCUUCCUCAUAUCUUUCUUUGUCUUUCCUUCGGAUUAGCAGCCACACCAAGAGGAAAAUCAGCAGGGCUCCAGCCACUAUGCCUGUCACUGCUCCUGCAACCAUGCCGAUGCUUUGUACAUCUAUUUUCUCAGAAGCAAAAGCACAAGUAAAACCAAACGUAAGCUAGGAAAUAUGUUAUUAACUCAAAAAACAUAAGCUCUGGACAGAAUGAGUAUUUGCAGGUUUGUUUGUUUUGUUUUUUUUUUUUUGAGACGGAGUUUCACUCUUGUUGCCCAGGCUGGGGUGCAGUGGCAUGAUCUCGGCUCAUCGCAACCUCCACCUCCUGGGUUCAAGUGAUUCUCCUGCCUCAACCUCUUGAGUAGCUGGGAUCACAGGCGUGCACCACCACGCCCGGCUAAUUUUGUAUUUUUAGUAGAAACGGUAUUCUCUAUGUUGGUCAGGCUGGUCGCAAACUCCCGACCUCAGGUGAUCCACCAGACUCAGCCUCCGAAAGUGCUGGGAUUACAGGCGGGAGCCACCGCGCCGACCUCCAGGUCUUUAUAUCUAUCUUCCUGAGUAGUACUGCAUUACUCUCUCUUAUUGUAUGACCAACCCUCUUGAUAUAUUUGCAGUUGUAGUUACUGAAUCACAGACUUCGCCAGCAAGUGGCCAGGGUUUUUGUUUGUUUGUUUGUUUGUUUUGAGAGGGAGUCUCGCUGUGUCCCCCAGACUGGAGUGCAGUGACGCGAUCUCGGCUCACUGCAAGCUCCGCCUCCCGGAUUCACGCCAUUCUCCUGCCUCAGCCUCCCGAGUAGCUGGGACUACAGACGCCCGCCACCACGCCCGGCUAGUUUUUUUGUAUUUUUAGUAGAGACGGGGUUUCACCGUGUUAGCCAGGAUGGUCUUGACCUCCUGACCUCGUGAUCCGCCCUCCUCGUUCUCCCAAAGUGCUGGGAUUACAGGAGUGAGCCACCGCGCGCAACCAAGUGGUUAUGUUUUAGUGAAUAAGUCUGGGUGGGUUCAGAUGGUAAAACUGGGCUGGGAGAGAAAUCAUAGCAUGUCUGAAGAUUUGUCUGCCUUAAUAGGAUAACAUUUGGGCAUUCCUCUGGCUCUGCCGACUUCCCUGUUUUCUCUAACAUCUCUCUUCUCCCACCAGUCAUAUAAAAGGGAAUGUAAGAAAAUUUUUUUGGCUGGGCACAGUGCCUCAGGCCUGUAAUCCCAGCACUUUGGGAGGCUGACGUGGGCGGAUCACUUGAGGUCAGGAGUUCGAGACCGGCCUGGCCAACAUGGCAAAACCCCGUCUCUACUAAAAAUACAAAAGUUAUCUGGGCAUGGUGGCACACGCCUAUAAUCCCAGCUACUCGGGAGGUUAAGGCAGGAGAAUCACUUGAACCUGGGAGGCAGAGGUUGUAGUGAGCCGACAUCAUGCUACUGCACUCCAUCAAGACUCUGUCUCAAAAAAAAAAAAUUUUGAGUAGAAUAAAAGUUGAUUUUUAAAAAUGGAAUAUAACCUAUAAUGUUAGACUCUGUGGAAUUUGACAUUGGAUCCUAGAAUUUAAGAAGUUAAGGUAAAUACAAUUUGUAGUUUAGCAAUACACCCUUUUUCAUAUACCAAAUAUUUAUUUCAGUGCCUACCCUGAGCCAGGCAGUUAUAGGCACUGUUGAAGACCAGCAAGUUUUCUGCUUUUGUUGAGUUUUCAUUCCAGAAGGGAAACAGAUAAUAAACAAGUAAAUAAAGAUAAUUUCAGAUAAUGGAUAAAUUCCAUGAAGGCAAAAUUGGAUGAGUGAAUUUUAGAGGGGUAAUGGAGGGAUACCACUUAAGUUUGGGUGAUUAAGACUUUGAGGAGGUGACAUUUGAGUUGAGGCAUAUAUGAUAUAAAGGACGAUCUUGUGAUUAUCUAGGAACAGAGCAUUCCAGGCAGAAAACAGCAAGUACAAUUAAUGUGAGUGGGUCUGGAGCAUAGUGAGCAAGGGAGAGUAGAGGGAGAUGAGGUCACAGAGACAGGAAAGGACCAGCCCACAUAGGCCAUGGCAAAAAUUUUAAUGUGAGAGCAAUAAAAGAGUAACACAAUCUGAAUUAUAUCUGAGACAGUACACCAUGGCUGCUCUAGGGAAAAUAAAUAGUGGAGAAGUAGGAAAGAAAGCAGGGACAUUGGCUAGGAGGCGUAUAAUAGUGCAGGCUGGAGAUCAUGAUGGAUUAGGCUAGGAUGAAAGUAAUGUAUAUAGAAACAAGUACAUGGAUAUUGCCUAUAUUUUGGAAGUCUAAUCAACAGAAUUUGCUAUUUAUUCUUUUUUUUUUUUUUUUUUUUUUUUGAGAUGGAGUUUCGCUCUUGUUGCCCAGGCUGGAGUGCAAUGGCGCGAUCUCAGCUCACUGCAACCUCCGCGUCCCGGGUUCAAGUGAUUCUCCUGCCUCAGUUUCCUAAGUAGCUGGGAUUACCGGCGUGCACCACCAUGGCCAGCUAAUUAUUGUAUUUUUAGUAGAGACAGGGUUUCACCAUGUCAGCCAGGCUGGUUUCGAACUCCUGACCUCAGGUGAUCUACCCCCCGCCUUGGCCUCCCAAAGUGCUGGGAUUUCAGGCGUGAGCCACUGCACCCAGCCUAUUUAUUCUUAUAAAAACAAAAUGAUACAAUUAUUUAUUUAUUUUUAAGACAGAGUUUUGCUCUUGUUGCCCAGGCUGGAAUGCAAUGGUGCGAUCUUGGCUUACCGCAACCUCUGCCUCCCGGGUUCAAGUGAUUCUCCUGCCUCAACUUCCUGAGUAGCUGGGAUUACAGGCAUGCGCCACCACUCCUGGCUAAUUUUGUAUUUUUAGUAGAGAUGGGAUUUCUCAUGUUGGUCAGGCUGGUCUCAAACUCCUGACCUCAAGUGAUCCGCCCACCUCCAUCAAAGUGUUGGGGUUACAGGUGUGAGCCACAUGCCCAGCCAAAAUUUCAUUUUUUAAAGAAAUUGGACUUUGGAUAUUUUUAUUUAAGGUCUCAAAGGAAUGGAGUUAUUUUACCUGAGUAAUUUCAAAUAGAGGAUGCUGUUUUCCCCACUGCCCCAGCUCCAGGACACAUAAUCUAGAUGGAUUGUCUGUUAAUGGAAAUUUAGGUCACUUUCAAUUUUUCACAAUGGAAAAUAAUAUAUCUCAGUGCUGUGGCUCACGCCUGUAAUCUCAGCACUUCGGGAAGGUGAGGCAGGUGGAUCACUUGAUGCCAGGAGUUCGAGACCAGCCUGGCCAACAUGGUAAGACCCCGUCUCUACUAAAAAUGCAAAAAUCAGCUGGGUGUGGUGUGCAGGCCUGUAAUCCUAGCUCCUCAGGAAGCUGAGGCAGGAGAAGUGCUUGAACCUGGGAGGCGGAGGUUGCAGUGAGCCGAGAUCGCACCAUUGCACUCCAGCCUGUGCAACAAGAGUGAAACUCUGUCUCAAAAAAAAAGAAAAAAAAAUCAUUAUUUUCCAUAUGUAUUUGGACACUUGGGGCAUGUCUCUAAAAGAUAAAUUCACAGAAAUAUUACUGGAUAAAAUGGAAUGCAAUUUUGCAUCUGAAAUAAAAUGAAUAAUUGUAUAGUUAUAUAAUGAAAUACUAUAAAACAAUGAAAAAUGACAUACUCUAGCUAUAAGCAACAACAAUGAUGAGUCUCAAAAAUAUAAUGGGGAAUUAAAGAAACCAGACAAAAUGGAAUGAUUCUGUUUAUUUAAAGUUUUGAGACAGGAAAAGUAAUCCAUAAAGUUAGAAACCUGGAUUAUGGAGAGGUAGCAGGAGUCAGAAACAGGUUCUUUUUUUUGAGCCAGAGUCUCACUCUGUUGCCCAGGCUGGAGUGCAGUGGCACAAUCUCGGCUCACUGCAACUUCUGUCUCCCAGGUUCAAGUGAUUUUCCUACCUCAGCCUCCCGAGUAGCUGGGAUUAGAGGUGUGCACCACCAUGCCCAGCUAAGUUUUGUUUUUUUGUGUUUUUUUUGGUUUUUUUUGUUUUUUUUUUUUUUGAGACAGAGUCCUGCUCUGUCGCCUAGGCUGGAGUGCAGUGGCGGGAUCUCGGCUCACUGCAAGCUCCACCUCCCGGGUUCACACCAUUCUCCUGCCUCAGCCUCCCGAGUAGCUGGGACUACAGGUGCCUGCCACCACGCCCAGCUAAUUUUUUGUAUUUUUAGUAGAGAUGGCGUUUCACCAUGUUAGCCAGGAUGGUCUCGAUCUCUUGACCUCGUGAUCCACCUGCCUCGGCCUCCCAAAGUGCUGGGAUUAUAGGCGUGAGUCACCGUGCCCGGCAAGUUUUAUAUUUUUAGUAGAGCUGGGGUUUUGGCAUGUUGGUCAGGCUGGUCUCAAACUCCUGACCUCAGGUGAUGCGCCCAGCUUGGCCUCCCAGAGUGCUGGGAUUACAGGCAUGAGCCACCGUGCCUGGCCAGAAACAGGUUCUUAAUCAUGAUACUGGUUACACAGUUAUCUUCACUUUUGAAAAUCUAUCAAGUUGUACACUUAUCCUUCUUCUUUGUAUAAGUUUUACUUUAAUAUAUUUACCCCUCAGAAAUCUAUAGAUAAAUCUAAAUUGUGCUACUAAUGUAUAUGUUAGUCAAAAAUGUAAAAGCACCUGUUUCCUCAUAACCUUUCUAAUAUAGAUUCUACAGUUUUUAUAUUUACUAAACUGAUAGCUUAAAAUUAAAAGGGUGAUUUUUUUUUCUCAACCUAGUGGGGAAAAAAGGAUUUUUGGGGGCCUCUUUAUUCAUGUUUAUUCACCAUUUUUUAUUUCUUUUCCUGAAAACUGCCUGUUACUUUUUUUGUUUUGUUUUGUUUUGUUUUUGAGACGGAGUCUCUCUCUGUCACCCAGGCUGGAGUGCAGUGGCCUGAUCUCAGCUUACUGCAACCUCCACCUCCCAGGGUCAAGCGAUUCUCCUACCUUAACCUCCCGAGUAGCUGGGAUUACAGGCAUGCCCAGCUAAUUUUUUGUGUGUUUUUAGUAGAGACGGGGUUUCACCAUGCUGGCCAGGCUGGUCUCAAACUCCUGACCUCGUGAUCCGCCCGCCUCGACCUCCCAAAGUGCUGGGAUUACAGGCGUGAGCCACUGCACCCGGCCUGACUGUUGUGUUUUUAAGAAAAAUUAUCUAAACUUGGAAAUAGACAAAAGAACUACAGAACUUGGCAAUUUACAACUCUGUAGGGGCAACUUGUAGACCUCUGUCUAGUAGAGAUGGAAAUAAUUUAUCCACCAGUUAAACAGAUGACCCCAGGAAUUAGUCUGCGACUUCGUAGCUCGAUGUCAAAUCCAGCAAUCUGUUAAUAGUAAUAAUAGCUAGUGUUACUGAACACCCACCAUGUGUGAAGCCCUGUUCCUAGGCUUGACUGGUGUUGGAUGAUCUGCCUCUGAAAUGGCUCAUUCACAUGGCUGUUGGCUGGAGGCCUCAGUUUCCUCACUUAAAAUAAAACAUAAAACAUGGGCCUCUAUAUAAGGCUCUUAAAGCAGCUGGCUUCCCAUAAAGUGAGUGAUCUAAGAGAGAGAGGAUCUGAGUGAUCUGAGAUCUAAGAGAUCUAACAUCUAAGAAAGCAAACUGCAGUGCUUUUGCAGAUGCAACAUACCAUCACUUCUGCUGUAUUAUACUCAUCAGAAGUGAGUCACUAAGUUCAGAUCACACUCAAAAAGAGGAGAAUGAAGGUGUACUUUUUUUUUUUUUUUUUUGGAGAUGGAGUUUCGCUCUUGUUGCCCAGGCUGGAGUGAGUGGCACAAUCUAGGCUCACUACAACUUCCACCUCCCGGGUUCAAGUGAUUCUCCUGCCUUGGCCUCCCAAGUAGCUGGGAUUACGGGCAUGUGCCACCACGCCCAGCUAAUUUUCUAUUUUUAGUAGAGAUGGGGUUUCACCCUGUUGGUCAGGCUGGUCUCGAACUCCCAACUUCAAGUGAUCUGCCCGCCUUGGCCUCCCAAAGUGUUGGGAUUACAGGUGUGAGCCACUGCGCCUCGACAAAGGUAUAUCUCUUGAAGGGAGAAGUAGCAAAUCAUUACUUGGACAUAUUUUUAAAACCACCAGAAUGCAAAUUCUAAUAAGUAGAGUAUAUAAAUACAUAAUAAAGAACUCUUUCAAAUCAGUGGGAAAACAGCUAAACCAAAAUAGGCACAGAAUGUUGAAGUAUAACUUUGAAAAAAGUAAAAUACUGAUUCCGACAAAUUAAAGGUUUUAUUUAACUUAUUAAUAAGGGGGCGCUGGGUGUGGUGGCUCACACCUGUGAUCCCAGCACUUUGGGAGGCCGAGGUGGGCGGAUCACGAGGUCAGUAGUUUGAGACCAGCCCGGCCAACAUAGUGAAACCCCGUCUCUACUACUAAAAAUACAAGAAUUAGCCAGGUGUGGUGGCACACACCUGUAGUCCCAGCUACUCGCUACUCGGGAGGCUGAAGCGGGAGAAUCGCUUGAACCUGGGAGGUGGAGGUGGCAAUGAGCCAAGACCACGCCAUUGCACUGCAGCCUGGGUGACAGAGUGAGACUCUGUCUCAAAAAAACAAAAAACAAAAAAAAACCAACAACAAAAAAAAACAGGGUGGGGGUUAGGAAAAUGUUAAAAGUGGUCCAAAGAGCAUUUGAGAAAUUAGAGACAAUUUAACAAAGAUGUUAUGGAGACAAUGUAACAAAGAUUAAUAUCCAUGCCCUGCUUCCUUUUGUCUUUCAACUUGGUUUAUCCUGUCUUUUUUCAAGACUCAAUCUCUAGAUUAUAAGCCUGGCAUACUAUUUAUUGCACCAAAUAAAUUUUAACACUGCAAACAUGGCUUGUGGAUAUAGGAUUUGGUCAAAAGUCUGAAGUUACUAAAUUGAUUAAGGAGAAAUAAUAAUAAUAGCUAAUGUUACUGAACACCCACUGUAUGUCAAGCCCUGUUCCUAGGCAGUUGUAAGUAAAUGUGUUCAUUUACUAACUUUUCAGAAAAACUCUAAGAGGCCAGGUGGCGUUGCGCAUGCCGGUAAUCGCAGCACUCUGGGAGGUGAAGAAGGGUGGAUCGCCUAAGUCCAGGAGUUCAAGACCAGCCUGGCCAAUGUGGCAAAACCCUGUCUCUACAAAAAUUAGCCAGGUGUGACGGCAUGUGCCUGUAAUUCCAGCUACUCAGGAGGCUGAGGCAGGAGAGUCGCUUGAACCCGGGAGGCAGAGGCUGCAGUAAGCCAAGAUCACACCACUGCACUCCAGCCUGGGUGACAGAGCAAGACCCUGUCCAGAAAAAAAAAAAAAAAGGAAAAAAAGAAAAACUCUAUGAGACAGUUAACUAUUAUUCUCCUUUAUAGAUUGGGAAAUAUGCCUAAGGUACUACAGAGUUAGUGGUAGCUGUGAUUGAAAUCCAGGCAGUUAUCUGACUCCACGGCUGAUGCUCUUAGUCGCCUACUACUGUCUCUCAUCUGUACUUGAAGCAAAUCAAAUUCUUGAUUAUAACACAUGUACACACGUGUGUGUGCAUGAGCACAUGCACAUACACACUCACAAACACUCUGUGGAGGGGAGAAAUCUCAUCUACUUGCCUAGAAUGGUAGUGGCAUAUAACUAACUAGCUGCACGGUUUUGUUUGUUUUUGUUUUUAGGAAUGGUGUUUAUUUAGUACUCCCCUGGAUAUAGUGAAUUUCUUUAGGGGGCUGGCUAAUUCACAUGUUUGUAAAUACAGAGUCAACUGGUGUGUUUUUGUUUUUUUUGGUUGGAGUCUCGCCCUGUUGUCCAGGCUGGAGUGCAAUGGCACCAUCUCGGCUCACUGCAACCUCCGUGUCUCAGGUUAAAGCAAUUCUUCUGCCUCAGCCUCCUGAGUAGCUGGGAUUACAGGCACGCAUCAGCACACCUGGCUCAUUUUUUGUCUUUUAGUAGAGAUGGGGUUUCACCAUGUUGGUCAGGCUGAACUCCUGACCUCGUGAUCUGCCUGCCUCGGCCUCCCGAAGUGCUGGGAUUACAGGCAUGAGCCGCCACGCUGGGCUGGUUUUUUUUGUGUGUGUUUUUUUUUUUGAGAGGGAGUCUCAGUCUGUCACCCAGACUGGAGUGCAGUGGCGUGAUCUUGGCUCACUGCAACCUCCGCCUCCCAGGUUCAGGAGAUUUUCCUGCCUCAGCUUCCUGAGUAGCUGAGAUUACAGGCGCCCACCACACCCAGCUAAUUUUUGUAUUUUAGUAGAAACGGGGUUUCACCAUGUUAGCCAGGCUGGUCUCAAACUCCUGACCUCAACUGAUCUGCCCACCUGGCCCUCCCAAAGUGCUGGGAUUACAGGUGUGAGCCACUGUGCCUGGCCAGUCAAUUGUUGAGUGGUCUUUGCAACUACUGAAUUUAUUUUGGUGAUAGCCAUAUCCUUCUGGAGAUAAAGAUUUUGACCUUAACCUUACUCUUACUUAUGAUUAGAAUGUCUUAACAUUGAUCUACAAUGCAAAAACAAACAGAAAAAUGAAACUAAAACCUCUUUGGAUGCUUACACUGUACAGUUACUCGCACCACACAGCUUUCCUUCCCAGCUUCGUUGCCUGCUGUGCACUGGUACAGUCCAGAGUAGGACAUGGUAAGAUUCUGCAGCAGAACUCGUCCAGGGUGGUUGUAGUCUGCACAAGCAGAAAGAAUGACUGUAAAUCCCUUUAGUGAUGGUAUCUAUAUUUAUUGUUUACUUUAUUGUAUCACUGAGCUGAGAUUCCGUAAUGCUAUUUGAUAAGAAUGAAAUGAUGGAAAAGAUAUCCUUUGGGAACAUGAGAAGAAAGGUAAACAUUUUUUUUAAGUUGUAGCACAUCCUCAAAAGUUACAAAAGAUUGUGAACAUUUAAGGGAUACUAAACAUAAUAUUUAGAUAUAGUGGAUUUAUGUAGUACAUUUCUUCCAAUCUCUUUUACUACUUUUACAUGUCAUUUGAGGAAAGGAAAGACAGAUUUUCUGUUCUAGUUAAUGGAUUUUAAAAAUGGCAGUUCAGGAGGUUCAGCAGGGUAUUUCAGGUCACAUAGUGAGUUGCUGAGAAAGCUGAUUUAGAGCUCACGGAUAGAGGACUAUUUUGUUGGCUCAAUAGAUUGGUAGGAAGAUGACUUACCAAUCCUAGAUUUGGGAGGCAGACGUUCAUCCUCUCCCUCUUUCUCUCGGAUUCGCUGCCAGUAAUACACAAUGGGCUCUGUGCCAGAGGAUGACUCACACUGCAAAGUCAGGUCACUUCCUUCUGUCAGCUCUCCUUCCAACUCACACUUGGGCUUGGAUGGUCUCACUGGCAACAGCAACAACAAGCAAAAGUGUAGUGAUUCAAAGAUCCCCAAACACCAGAUUCAAUGGAAAAAUUAUGUCCUAUUGAGUUGCUUCUCCAGCCAUCUGUUUUGGUCAACUUUUGAGUGGGGAUUCAACUAGCCUUGCUUUACACUACCCCCACCAAAACAUCCACCUCCAUCCCCUAAGCACACAUACCCGCAACUCCAGUGGUGCUGUUUUAAUUUUUGGGGCAGAGGCUGCCUCAUUACUUCUCAAAGAAGACACAUUAUUAUUGGACAUUUUAGGAAAGUUGAGCAUGGUUUUACUGAUACAGAAGUGUAUUAAUUUGGAAGCAAUUAAGUAGAACUUGGUAGCUCUUGCUGUCAAAAAACAGAAAUGAAUUUGAAUCAUAUCUGAGAGACUUAAAUAUGAAGAUCCCACUUAAAUAUUAGAGAAUAUGUUUUGUAAUGGACAACUAUGGAAAAUUGCUCUUAUAUUUUCAUUUUUUAUUAUGGCUAUAAUACAGAAGAUACACAUUUCUUUCCAGGGAACUGGACGAGGUGACCUCUGAAUGUGUAAUCCAAAGUACUGAACAUGAUGUUUUGUACCACCGUGAUGCAUAUGGCUAUCCCUCUUAGAUACCUUAGAAAUAAGCUGUAGACAUUCACUUUGGCAUCCUAUCUUACCUAAGACUUUUAAGAUGACAUGGCUCCACACGUAGCGCCCUGAAUUCUUAACCUUACAGGUGUACCGGCCCUCAUCACUGGGCUUCAGAGGUUCAAUCUGCAAGGAGGCAUCUCCUGCCAGGAAAUUGGAAGCAAAGGCCACUCGGCCCUUCUGUUCCUCAGUCAAGUUAUUGUAGACAUGACGACUGGAGUAAGUGAUCACCUGUGGGAUAGACCGAGGCAGAGUCAAGCAGCGUAACUCUCAGCCUGCCUUUCCUGAUGGUGUGAAGAAGAGGAAAGGGAGUACUCCCAGUGGCACAAAGUAGUCAAGCCUGGGGCUGAGAGUCCAAGAGACCUCUGUUCUAAAUAAAAGUUAAAAAUACAGUACAUUUGCACCUAGGCCUUGCCUCUCCUUCCAAAAAUAAUAACACUUCAUGUUUGUGUAGCAUUUUAGUUAUAAAGUAUUAUAUUAAAUGCUCAGAACCACUCCAUCUUACAGGUAAGGAAUUUGAAGUUUGACUUACAUACUGAAGUUCACACAGCUAAGUCAAGGAAAGGAGGAAACCAUGCAAGUGUACAGCUAUGCAUGUAUUAAGCAUAGACUUAUGAAAGGAAAAGAAACCUCGGGACCCCUCGGGAAGCCAAAGGGAAGGUCGAGCUUGGAACGAUGUCGGCAAACCUGCCUCCCAUUCUUUUUUUUUUUUUUUUUUAAGUAUUUGAGAGACUUCUAUGAGACAGGACUGUUUCCUUGGUUUUAUUUAUUUAUUUAUUUAUUUUUGAGACAGUCUCGCUCCGUCACCCAGGCUGAAGUGCAGUGGCACAAUCUUGGCUCACUGUAACCUCCGCUUCCUGGGUUCAAGCAGUUCUCCUGCCUCAGCCUCCUGAGUAGCUGGGAUUACAGGUGUACACCACCAUGCCCGGCUAACUUUUGUAUUAUUGGUAGAGACAGGGUUUCGCCAUGUUGGCCAGGCUGGUCUUGAACUCUUGGCCUCAGGUGAUCCACCCUCCUUGGCCUCCCAAAGUGCUGGGAUUACAGACAUGAGCCACCACGCCUGGCCUGCCUUCCAUUCUAUUCCUGAAUAAGAAAUAAGAUAGCUACAAAGAUAAAAAAAAAAAAAAAAAAAAAGCUUACAGUACUCCUGCACAAUUUGCCCACAAGGUGACUGCUUGUGGACAAAGGACAGACAGAACUCACAGUUACCCCUCUGCACACAUGAGAUAAAUGCAUAUCUGAUUGCUUCCUUUGCCCUAUUUCACUAAGCCG
rnacentral:lncRNA from 1 species